rnacentral:tRNA from 1 species
CGGGGCGUGGCGCAGCUCGGUCAGCGCGCAGCGUUCGGGACGCUGAGGCCGGCGGUUCAAAUCCGCCCGCCCCGA